rnacentral:rRNA from 2 species
ACUCCUACGGGAGGCAGCAGUGGGGAAUAUUGGACAAUGGGGGCAACCCUGAUCCAGCGACGCCGCGUGUGUGAAGAAGGCCUGCGGGUUGUAAAGCACUUUUAGUGGGGAUGAAAAGCCUGGCGCUAACACCGUCGGGUCUUGACCUAACCCACAGAAAAAGCACCGGCUAACUCUGUGCCAGCAGCCGCGGUAAUACAGAGGGUGCGAGCGUUAAUCGGAAUUACUGGGCGUAAAGCGUGCGUAGACGGUCAUACAAGUCGGGUGUGAAAGCCCCGGGCUCAACCUGGGAAUUGCAUUCGAGACUGUAUGGCUAGGGUGCGGAAGAGGGAAGUGGAAUUUCCGGUGUAGCGGUGAAAUGCGUAGAUAUCGGAAGGAACACCAGUGGCGAAAGCGACUUCCUGGUCCGACACCGACGUUCAGGCACGAAAGCGUGGGGAGCAAACAGGAUUAGAUACCCUGGUAGUCCACGCCAUAAACGAUGAGAACUAGACGUUGGAAGGGUAAGCCUUUCAGUGUCGCAGCUAACGCGUUAAGUUCUCCGCCUGGGGAGUACGGCCGCAAGGUUGAAACUCAAAUGAAUUGACGGAU